rnacentral:lncRNA from 1 species
UUCCCAGGCUAGGGGUCCAAUCGGAGCUGGAGCUGCUGGCUUACACGACAGCCACAGCAACGUGGGAUGCGAGCCAUGUCUGCAACCUACACCACAGCUCACGGCAACGCCGGAUCCUUAACCCACUGAGGGUGAGGCCAGGGAUUGAACCCACAACCUCAUGGUUCCUAGUCAGAUUCGUUGACUACUGCGCCACAACGGGAACUCCUGUUUUCUUUUUUUUUGACCAAGGAAAGAAUGCAUUACACAUUCUUCUUUUUUUUUUUUUUAUGCAUUACACAUUGUUCUGCACCUCAAUUUUUUUUCACUCAACACUGUAUCAAGGCAUUUGUUCCAGAUCAUCACACUCUUCCACUGCUCUGUACUAGUCCAGUGCAAGCAGGUCCCACCAUUCAUGUCAGUCCUAACUUGUCGACAUCUUGUCUGUUCCCAGUUGUCUGUGGCCAUGAAAGUUUCUCUCUAUGGAUCUUUAUACAUUUACAGGGGCCUAGAUUCCUUGAAGAGUAAUUUCUGAGGCAAAGGGAAUAUGUGCUUUGCAUUUUGAUAGAUAUCAUCCAAUAGUCCUCUAAAAAAUUUUACCAGGUUGGACCAAAAGCCACUUUUAGGUCUUUGCCCAUCUAAAGGAUAAAAAAUAGUAUCUCACUGUAAUUUACGUUUUUAAUUAUGAGAGAUGUUAGCAUCUUUUUCCUGUUUCCAAAUCAUUGUAUUUCUUUUUCCCUUACCCCUCUUCAACAGUGUUUAAGGAGCCCUUGUACAGCUACAUAGGCAAAGUAUCUGGGACCUGUGGAAUUUUCAAGAGCCUGUAAAAAAAGUUUGAGACCUGGGGUGGGGGUGGGGGAUGUAUUGGCUUGCAAAUAUUUUUAAAAGACUAAAAAACUGAACCCAAAAUGGUAUAAUGUAAUCUCAACCAAACAUAAUCUUACGGCAAGCUCAUUAACUGGAAACUGGAAUUCAUGAACAUUUCAUUACAUUUUAAAGCAAUCUGUUGGUUUAGAUGUUCUCAUUUCAAAAAAAUCCCAAGAAUGCAUGAUGCUUUUCAAGAAAUUCAAGUCCAUUUUCAUUUAAACGCAUUAACUGUAGUUGAAUAAUUUCACAAUCAUAAUUAAUUGAAAACGCUUUUUAAAAAUUUACCAUAACGUGGGAGUUCCCUGGUGACUGGUUCAGUGGUUAAAGGAUCCAGCGUUGUCACUGCUGUGGUCAGGUCACUGCUGAGGGGCAGAUUCAAUCCCUGGCCUGCCCUGGAACUUCCGCAUGCCGCAGGUGCAGCCAAAAAAAAUAAAGAAUCAUAAAAUGACAUUCAAUGUGGAAUUAGAGUGCAUUUUAAUAUGUUUCAUGUGAUUUGGACGGGGCCUCCCAAAUUAAGUGCAUCAAGGGCCAAAAGUGGUUUUAUUUAAAAGGCCUGUAAACCUCCGAACCAGACAGACAAGGUCUCAGUCUCAGGAAAUUUCUAAUCAAAGAACACGCUGACCUUCUCAGCAAAAGUAGGAACGAGUAAAGUGGAUCAGAUCUGAGUCUGGAGCUCGCUGAGGACCCCUGGCUUCUCUCCCAACCCCCUGACUGUUACAGAGAAAAAACUCUCUCCUGUGUCACACCCAUCCCCAGCCUGGUGACUCAGCGCUGGACAUGGGGAUUUUGGAAAGCUCAGUGGGGUGAUGGAGCGGGGAAAGACGGGGUAGAGGUGAUGCUCUCUCUGCUCUCAGGACCAGCCUGGGGUGGGGGUAGGGAGCAGCAGGACAGACAUAGGGAGGGAAAGAGACAAAUUGUCCCCAGAUGACAUUUUGAGACAGCAGAACAAAAUGUGUUUGGCUCUUCCCUACCCUCUCCCUCUUUUAAAGAGAAAUAGGACUCAGCCCUUGAAAGGGACCAUCUGGGCGUCUAAGUCACAGGUGCGAAGGUUUUAGGACUGGGAGGUGAGCAAUUCAGCACCUCCCCCCUCCUCCCCGUCUGCCUCCCCUCCCCAUCCAGCGGAGGAAAGGCAGGGAGGACCUGGGGGAAGCAGCGCUGGAAUCUCCUGCGUGCCCGCGCGUGCCCGUUCCCCUAGUACUGUCUCUAUUCCCAGCCACUGGGGUGGGAUUUGGCACAAUGACACGCCAUAAAGUCCAAUCUAUCGAACCCAAUUGAAUUGAAAGGCACGGUGGAGUCAGAUGAGGGGUCUGAUUUCCUCCCCCUCAUGUUUGUUCUCAGCCCGCUGUGUGGCCUUGAGCAACGGCUGCCGCCUCUGAGCUGUUUCCGCAUUUGUACAGAGAGCACCAGAAAACUUGGUCUGCGGGGACAUUAUGCAGACCCAGUGAACUGAAAUCGGCAAGGCAUUUAGCUCUGGGCCGGGCCUUUUUAAUUCUUACCCUUUGGCUGCAGUGGUGGGAAAGCAAAUGUUUGCCAGGUAGGGGGAGGUGGGUGGAGCUGAUGGUGGCCCCUCGCCAGCCAGAGAGGACUUUGAGCUUGCCCCGGAGUGCCAGGAGGGAGCCACUGAAGGUUCUGCAGCGAGGGAGGGGGCCAGAUCCUGGGAGGGGCCGGGAUCCUCGGCCCUCACCCAGAUCCAAAACCCCGCCUCUGGUGUUCUCUCUUCCUCCAAUGCACCCCCUCCCACAGCCCAGGGCCACAGCUCUGCUCCCACCAAGACCGAGUCUGGGAGAACAGCAGAGUGAGCCCCAGGACAAAGCCUAACUAAGGCUAUGCCUGAGCCCAGGCUUGAACCCCUACUCUGAGCCCCCCUCACUGGGUGUUUUGGAUUCCUCUGGGCCUCAGCCUUCUCCCUGCAAAGUGGGGCGACAACAGCGACCUCACGGGGUGGUGGGGAUGGUUAGUUGAGAUAAUAUGUAAAAGCACCUGGCGGCAUGCCUGCUGUACAGGUGGAGUUCAGUGUACGGUGCCAUUAACUGAGAAAGCGGACAGGGGAUCCAAAGGGAGAGAAUGAGGAUCAGAGACGGGGAAGAAUGACACACGGGCCCUUUGCCUCUCUGGAUGGUCCACCUGCAGCCAAGGAAAAAGCCCUUUGGGAGGAGGGGGUGAUUGGGGGGGCAGCUAUUGGGUAAGAGAGGAGGUCAUCCCUGGCCCGCUUCCCUCCUCUACUUCUACCUCCCGCCCAGCUUGGUCACCCAGUUUAGGGUGACAGGGCUGGGCAUGGUGGACCAGCAGCAAUCCUCCAGAUUCCAGAACUGGGCCUCCUGCAAAAGGUGGGUGAGGGUGUAAGGUGCUUCCAGGUGAUAAGAGAGCUGCAGGUGUCGGGCCAUGGGAGCUGGGAUUCCCCAUCCAUCACCCAUCAGGGCCCCAAGCCCAGCCCACCAGGCUUAACUGGAAACCCGAGGCUGCUCCAUUUGCAGUGUGGGUCUGCGUGCGAGAAAGCUGGUAACACUGGCUGAGACCGGUUCACUCUCACCCACAGGCCAGCUGGGCCCUCCCCAGUGGCUGGGCACCUGAGCAGGUGUGUGUGUGUGGAGGGGGGGGGCUACAAGCUGUCACUUCUAAAUAUAGAGCCUGGCAGCCUGGGAGUCAGCCAGGUGCGGCUGCCACAUGGCCCCCCAAACUGGCUGAUACGCAUGUGCCCGCCAGUUCUGGGCCUGCACAGACACACAUCAAAACUGCCUCACACAGACCCCCAGGGACCCACGAAUACCCCCAAAGACACACACUCAGCUUGGCAUGUACACGUCCCCCCAAAGACACACACUCAGCUUGGCAUGUACACGUCCCUGUCCUUGUUGAGGCCCCUUAUUCACACACACCCUCUCCCCACACUCAUACUCUGCAACGCACACUGACACCAACCGGGCAGCCCCUGCUUGAACAACAGCCUCCCGAGGGCGGCAUCCCCCGUUCUUGUCCACUGCUGUCUCCUCUGCCUGUAACCGUGUCCAGCACACACCAGGUGCCCAGAAACAUUUGCUCUCUGAAUGAAUGCACACACACACUCACACACACACACACACAUUCUGUAAUAAUUACCCCCACUCUCACCCGAUCCCUGCCCCCCUGUGCUGGGUCUACUAGGCCCUACCGAGGACAAGACCAGAAGGCCUGUCCUCCUCUGGCCUGGCCAAUCCCCCAUAGCCAGAGUCCAAGCCAGGCUGAGGACCUGAGCAGGAGGGUGGAGAGGGCAGCCCAGGGAAAGAAGUAGCUUCGAACCCCUGUUUAGGAGGAUGUGGGAAUCAUUGUUUGCUACAGGACAAACCUCCCUGGAGGAGCCACCGCACCACGCUGGAGUUCUGGGUUGGGCCACAUCCCCAGAAAGCCACCAGGGGAGGGGAACACGUGACCCCUAUAAGGCCCUCCCCAGCCCCCUCCUCUGAAGGAGUGCCCCAUUUUAGGUGAUUCCACCCCAUCUAGGAGCCCUCAGCUCUGCCCCCAUAGUGCUUGGGCUGGGCUUCCCACAGCCUGCACAUGGCUGUAACAGAGUGACACUUCAGGGGGAGUUCCCGUUGUAGCUCCGUAGGUUAAGAACCUGAUUAGUAUCCAUGAGGGUACAGGUUCAAUCCCCAGCCUCGCUCAGUUCACAGAUGUGGCUUGGAUCCGGUGUUACUCUGGCUGUGGCUGGCAGGUGCAGCUCCGAUUCAACCCCUAGGCUGGAAACUUCCAUAUGCUAAGGUGUGCCCUAAAAAGAAAAAAAAAAAAAAAAAGGAAAAAAAUAAAAAAGAAGGGGGGUGGUGGUCAGGGAGGACUCCCUGGAGGAGAGGAGCCUUGUACAGUGAGAGACAGGAGGGCCUUCUGGGAAGAUGGCUGGAAGAGGCAUCUGAGCAUCUCUGACUCCAGGACUGCUGAGGGAGCAUCGUGACUGUGCUGGGACCUCACAAUUCCCAUGAGAUGAAGCGGAGGCUGAUUGGGCAGGCUGAGCACCAGGGAUGAGGAGGGGAUGCUGUGAUCCCAGAGCGACUGAAGGUCGGGUGAGAUUUAUAGUCAGAGCCUGCAUCAGUAGACUAGAGAAAAAGGUGACUGAGGGGGGCAAGCUGAUAAAGGGGAGGACUAGGGACAGGACUAAGGACAGAUGAGUGGCCAAUGGAUGGACAUAUGCAUAGGCUAGCAGAUGGACUGAAAGACACAGGAGCAUGAAUAGACAAAUGGAAAGACAGAAGUGGGUGGCUGGCCACUGGGGUCACUCUCUGAAGCCCCACAAGGGCCUGAAGACCCAGCUACUUCCCCUGCAGACCACUCCCACCCCAGCUCCAUUCCCUGUCUCCUUUCCCAGACCAGGUUCCCAGGGAGGCAGACACCUGCUUGGCCUGAUGCCCAGAGAUGCACUUUCCAGCCAAGUACAAGCCCAGAAAUGGAAUCACCUCCUGGUGUUCUUACCUGUUGCAGGUGUGCAUAGGAUGGGGUGGGGUCAGCGCCAUAUCUAUGGGCUAAUACCUCCAAAAAUAGCCUCCCAGCGACUGGGGAGUACCCCAAUCAUGGCUCACGUGCGCGCGCGCGCGCACACACACACACACACACACACACACACACAGCCGCUGGCAGAAUCAACUCCAUAGACACUUGAUGCACACACAGGUGCAUUCACUGACACACUGGCACCCAAACACCAGUCCCCCAAACACCACAACUACCAAACUGCAUAGCAACAGAAUGAGCCAACCACAUGGUCUACAAUGUAUGGGGCCACCUGGCCCCUCAGAUACACCCCAACACCAUGCUGUCAUUAAUCUACAAAUGUGCAUUGAACAGCUUCUGGACCCAACCCUAUGGGAUUUCGGAGCACCUUCAACAGCUCUUCCCAGAGAAAGCUGGACCCACAGGGUCCUUCAUGCUUCACCCUCCAACCCUGCCUCCUACCCCAGCACCUCACAUUUGCCCUCCGUCCAGCAACAUCUGACACCUUAGGGGGGUUCUCUCCUUCUCAUAUGCUUGGAUCCACAUUAUUCCUGCAACUGGGAACCCUUUCCCCAUUUCACUCCUGAACCCCACAUACCAGACCUUUCAUUCAAGACAGAUCUCUGCAUACCUAAAGUUUAACAGUGGGACACACAACAGGGCCUAAAUGUUUGUUGACUGACUGACCAACUUACCAGCUGGGUGAAAUCAUUAGGAAUAUAAAUCAGCUAAGAAUAGUGCAUAAUUAAAGUUCCCAUCAUGGCUCGGUGGUUAACAAACCCGACUAGUAGCCAUGAAGACGCGGGUUCAAUCCCUGGCCUUGCUCAGUGGGUUAAGGAUCCUACGUUGCUGUGAGCUGUGGUGUAGCUCACAGACAUGGCUCGGAUCC